AUCUUGAAUCAAAGUGUGUGGGUCUAGCACCAAACGGUGCUUUUCAUUUGCCAAUUAAAAGACAAAAGCCAUUGAAUGGCAUUUCUUCAGCAAAACCCCACCCUUCAUUUUCUCUGCCAUUUUUAGAAAAAGAAAAUAACACCCCCCACCUAAAUCUCUACUAGGAUUUCAACCCGAAGCGCCGCAAAUGGAGGGUCAUCGGCACUUCCAUGCCAUCGCCUCUAGUGCCGAUCCACGGCGAACCCAGAUAUCUCGGAGGCGUGGGAGCGUGGCAUGAAGUAGAGCACGAUUCGGAAGCUUGGCGCGCGUCGUACUCUACUUGGACUCGAAGCUUGCGGCGCCGAUUUCCUUCUGCUGCUAGGGUGUUGGGUUGGCUCUAUGUUUUGUGUAUUGGGCUGAGAGAUGUGGGUUAGGUUUUGGGUAAUCUGUUGGGCUUUGGGUUUGUUUUAAAUUUGGUCCUACAGCUAUCAUAUUGAUUAUUCUUCAUCCAUGAUUAGGAAAUUGAUAAUAUUUUUAGAUUGGUGGAAUUUGAUUGUUAUCUUGUUAGUUGAUUAAACGAAUUAUCUUAUCUCCAUUCAUCAAUCAUAGUAACUCAUACAUGUA